GGCACGGUGGCUUAGUGGUUAGCACUGUUGCCUCCGGAGUUGGGGGUUCGAUUCCCGUCUCCGCCC